rnacentral:lncRNA from 1 species
CAUUGCCGCCCUAUAUUUCCACCAGCUGUAACUCUCCUGCUCCAAUGCUUAUGAUACAUCCAUGUCUGUAGCCUUCUGACCCGCUAGUUAAGCUAUUGUUUAGCCUUUCUCUCUUUCUAUCUCGCAAGUCUCUUUCCUCUUAGCUGUCUAUCAGCGUGGUGCUUCCCUUUUAAUUUACUGUUCCGAGAAGUGGGUUUACUGCCUUUAUUGCUUUUUCAUCGAACUCCUUUUAACACGUUCGCUUCCUUCUUUGGUCCUUCCUCUAUAUAUUUUACUCAACUCCCUUCAUCCAAUUCUAUGGAGCCCCAAAACAUAACUACCAUCAUCUUUAUCCCCUUUUCUCAUUGUCCAUGCUAUUUGAGUUGUUUUGGAAACGAUAAUCCUAAUAGCACUUCUGUAUUGUUAUUAUUUUGAAACAUUUCACUUCAUUCAUCGUUUGCGUCUUUACACUAGGAAAAUGGAUCUCCUUUCUGAUCUGUUGAAAUGUAUUUCCUUUACUUCGGUUGUCUGUUUUCUUUCUACCAAUUCUGGACGAGUUAGGAGAUUAGAGAUCCAUAUCUGGUUGGUUCUUGUCUGUGUUUCUUUUGAUCUUUUCCAUCUUACUCCAGUGUCAAUAUAAAGAAAACAGUUAAGAGUAUAUCUACUUAUUACUUCUUCAGUGCAAGUAAAGUCUAGUAUGAUUUCUGAAUGAUUUCCUUGUUCUGGUUGGAUAAUUUGAGGCUUCCAUCUUUAGCUCAGUUGAAACUCGUAUUAUUUUUUGAUUUUAGCGGAUUUAACUGCAUUUUUGUUUUCUGAUUUGAGGUGGGGUUUUAUGUUUGGAAAAUAUGAUUUUAUUCAUGAAAGAGAUUCUCAUGUUCCUGUUAAUGUUAUUUCCCAUUUAUGUAUAUUGUCGAGGCUUGUGAGUUGAGUUGAUGUCGUGUGAGGAAGAAGAAAUUGUCCACAAGGGAAGCAGUGAAGCUGCCAGCAUGAUCUAGCUUUGGCUAGUUUGCAACGAAAGUAAAAUGAGAUAGUAGUAGUGAGCUAGCCCUAGCUAGGUCAUGCUAUGACAGCCUCAUUCCUUCCCAAUGUGGGGGACCCCAAUAGACCAAGAUUCUCAUCUUUUUUACACUGUUCAGUCACUUCUUGGAAUGUUUUGAACGAGACAGAAAACAAAGUCGAAGAAAUAAUAAAUCACUGUAAAGUAUAUUCCUUAUCUUUUGCAUCUCCUUCCAUGGUGUUGUCUGGCAUGCGCUUACUUGCUUUCAACUGUUUUUAUUCUCACCACUGUGUUGUAUCAGUUGGUCCAAUGUUCGUCAAUUUGUGUGUUUACUUCGGUUUCUGAAGGAAAUAUCAAAUAGUGGAGUGGAUAUUAUCGCAGGAAUUAAGAAGCCAGUGAUAGAAACCAAACCAAUGGAAGCAGGAUACAAAUAGGAUCCCAAGGAGUGAAGUCUGUUCUAUCUGCUCGUUAACUUUGCUGAAGGAAGUUCCUCUCAGUUUCACCAUUUUGCACAGUCGUAGUAGGUGGUUGUUUAUUUGCUGAAGAACUGGUAAUUCUUUGCACCUUUUUAGCAGUUAGUUAUAGAUAAAACAAAUUGUAUAUAGACAUUACAGUUUGUACAUAAAUCUAGUGACCAAUCUGGUUAUGUGACUUCUUCUGCCAUUUCCCUAAUAUAUGAGGAUGUACCACCAAUAAGGUUGAUUCGUAUUUGGUGAACGUACACUCGGUCUACCAAUAUCCCUGAUUUUUAAUGCCUUUUUUAUUUUCCCGAAAAUAAUUUAAUUUGAAAAAAGAAAAUGCUUAAUUAUCACUUGACUUAAUUUCAAUUAGUAUUAGGUCAUGUUUAAUUUUAGCUUUUCAUUUUAAUAUUUGGUGUUGGUUUUUUCAUGUUUGAACAUCUAGAUAUUAACAUCCCACUUACAAAUCAUUUUAAUAUUUUUAUGUGAAUUUACGAAUUGAU